CAAGAAGAUCCAUAAGAAACAAGGUGCUGGAUUUCUCCGUUGUGUUCGUCUUUUUCCAGUGCCAUCAACCACCUCAAAGACACUGGUUAUCAGAGGUUGGAUUUAUGCAAACUUGGGCCAAAGGACAGUUAGAAGACAGUAGUCUCUUCUUUUCUGACAGCUGAAGAAGCAUCUGUAGGGAAUCCAGAAGGAGCAUUCAUGAAGAUGUUACAAGCCCGGAAGCAGCACAUGAGCACUGAGCUGACUAUUGAGUCGGAGGCGCCCUCAGACAGCAGUGGCAUCAACUUGUCAGGCUUUGGGAGUGAGCAGCUAGACACCAAUGACGAGAGUGAUGUUAGCAGCGCACUAAGUUACAUCUUGCCUUAUCUCUCACUGAGAAAUCUAGGUGCAGAAUCAAUAUUGUUACCGUUCACUGAAC
rnacentral:lncRNA from 1 species